rnacentral:lncRNA from 1 species
GUUUUAACUGGCUUUAACUGGUUUUGUUUAGUUUAAACUGGUUUUUUACUGGUUUCUGAAAGGCUUUUUGGAAAAGUUGAUAAAUAUAUGGUAUAUAUUAUAAUUAGUCCAAUUGACUUCCAUAUUGCUUUUCUAUUUUUUAACUUUUUCUCUUAAUUUUAUUUUAGAAACCUCAAGUUCAAUUAAAAAUCAACUAAGAUAGCCAGAACAACAGCCAGAGAGAGAGAAAGAGAAAGGAAGAAAAUAGAACAACCCAUCAUUUCAAGGCCAGUCCAGUCCUGCCCCAACUUCCUCAGGGUGAAACAUUUAUAAACGUGAGGUAUAAAGUCUGGGUGAAUUAGAGAAAGGGAUAGGGGAAAAGAAAGACAUUCCUCCUCCCAUAGCAGUCUAUGGGGGUGAGGAGAGGAAGGCAUUUAACAAGAAGACUCUGCAUUUAUGCCAUCAACCCCAUCCUGGAAUGCAGGAUGUGAAUAGAAGAUGUAGUGGGAAGGGGUGACAAUGAGGCACCUACUUCCCUGGAAUCUCUUUGGGGACUGUGUAGGGAAGAAGGUAUUCUGGAUGCUAGGGACCCCAUAGGCAGAUGGGGUACAAGGAAUUAACAGAAAGAAAAGAGGUUAGAGAAGCUGAGGGGUCACAGAGAGUUGGGAGCUCAGCCAAGAAACCCAUCAAGGUCAUCAUCUUCAAAGUGGCCCUGCUAAAAGACCUUGAUGUUGUCCUCAUUAGAUUUUGAGGACUGACCCUAAAUGGAUAAUGAGGAUAGUUAGCACAUCAAUGCCUUACAUCAGCAGAAGAGACUUCCCUGUCAAUUUCACUUAAAGAAGUAUUUAUAUUACUAAUGAAAUCUCACUAAUCUUCAAAAUACUAAAAUCUAAAAAUAUAAAUUUUCAAUUAAUUUUUCAGCUACAAACCACAUGAAAGAUGACUUUCCUUUUAAUUCUCGAAAAUUUCCUUUUGAUAAUUUUAAUAACUGGGGCUUAAAUCCAAAACAUAACAGAGAAAUUCUCAGGACUUGUAUGUUCCAGAUCCUAUUUGAAAGGAAAACAUUAUACACAUAUGGUAGUAUUGGAAAAGCAUUGAACUUGUGAGAAGACCUGGAUUCAAAUUCACACUUUCACUUACCACCUACAAGACUCUGAGCAAAUCAUUUCCUCCUUCUGAGUCUGUCAUCCUUUGAAAAUAAAUAAGUUGACCGGAGCCUUCCUAUGAUAUUU